GACGAACGCUGGCGGCAGGCUUAACACGUGCAAGUCGAACGCCCCGCAAGGGGAGUGGCAGACGGGUGAGUAACACGUGGGAAACGUACCCUUUGGUUCGGAAUAACUUGGGGAAACUCAAGCUAAUACCGGAUAAGCCCUUAUGGGAAAGGUUUACUGCCGAAGGAUCGGCCCGCGUCUGAUUAGCUAGUUGGUGAGGUAAUGGCUCACCAAGGCGACGAUCAGUAGCUGGUCUGAGAGGAUGAUCAGCCACACUGGGACUGAGACACGGCCCAGACUCCUACGGGAGGCAGCAGUGGGGAAUAUUGGACAAUGGGGGCAACCCUGAUCCAGCCAUGCCGCGUGAGUGAUGAAGGCCUUAGGGUUGUAAAGCUCUUUUACCCGGGACGAUAAUGACUGUACCGGGAGAAUAAGCCCCGGCUAACUUCGUGCCAGCCGCCGCAGUAA
rnacentral:rRNA from 1 species